rnacentral:rRNA from 1 species
GACGAACGCUGGCGGCGUGCUUAACACAUGCAAGUCGAACGGAAAGGCCCCUUUGGGGGUGCUUGAGUGGCGAACGGGUGAGUAACACGCGCGUAACUUGCCCGUGACUUCGGGAUAACUUACGGAAACUGGGGCUAAUACAGGAUAGGAAUCCGUGCUGCAUGGGGGGGGUUGGAAAGAUUCGGCGGGUUUGGAUGGAUUCGCGGCCUAUCAGUUUGUUGGUGGGGGAGUGGCUUACCAAGGCUUUGACGGGUAGCCGGCCUGGGAGGGCGACCGGCCACAUUUGGACUGGGACACCGCCCAGACUCCCACGGGAGGCAACAAGGGGGAAUAAUGCACCAAGGGCGGAAGCCUGAUGCAGCAACGCCGCGGGCGGGAUUACGGCCUUCGGGUUGUAAACCGCUUUCAGCAGGGGCGAAGCUUGUAGUGACGGUACCUGCAGAAGAAGCACCGGCUAACUACGUG